rnacentral:misc_RNA from 1 species
AUCUUUCCUUUGUUGUACACAAAACUACCAUCCACGGCCUUGAAAUUCAGAUAUUUAGUAACAUCUGUGUGGAUGAGAAUGCGAACCAAGGCACCGUUGGCCAUCAUGAACUUAGGGAUCAUAUCAACAUUAUAGUCUCUGCUUGCGCCCAAAUUUUCUGGGGGUUUGUCCCCACUCCUAAAUCGCUUCCAAAGCUGGUUUAGAUUGAGGGAAGUGGACUCUCCUCCAUAAUAGUCAUUU